AGGAAGAGGAAGAGCGAGAGUGUUGCAAGAGAAGUACUGGUCUGUGCUGCGUGUGGGAAGUAACUUUAGUGGCGGCGUGAAGGCGAGGACACGAGUGAGGUGCUGGCAGGCUGACUGAGAACGUCAUUGUACGACAGAGUAGCCAGCUAAACAGCCGAGCCCUCAGCGUGCGCCUCCCGCCGGACAAGGGACCCUACAUCCAACACUACCUCAUUGAGAUCCACAACGAAGGCUCCUCCUACUCACUCCAAGCUUCUGAAAACCGCUUCGACACCCUUCCUUCGCUCAUCACCUAUUAUUCUCAGUGCUGCGAAGAGUUGCUGGCUCAGCUCAAGCUUCCUCGCACCAUCCAGGAGGCCAAGACCCGCCAUGAACUCGGCUCUCUCUCGCUGCUCGGACAAGGUGGUGCAUCACAGCGUCAGACUCACAGAGGAUGUGUAGCCGAGGCAAUGACACGUGGACGGCGCUGAUGGCGGCCAGAACCUCUUGGGCGUCUUGGUCACACACGGCCAGGCUGAGCACCCCCAGGUCCCGCCACUCCUGCAGCAGCUGUGUGCCGGCACCACUUAAGUGACCCAUGAACCUCUCAAGAAACAGUUGGCCAAAAUAAUAAAGGCAGAAGUAAGACUAAGCUUUGAAGAAAGAACAUGUCAUAAAGUGUUACUGGAGGCACGAAAAUGUCAAAGAAGUGCAAAGACAAUUCAGAAGACACUUUGACAGGGAUCCACCAAGGUGACGCGCCAUUGCUCGCAUCACAGCUAAUACCGAACGGCCUGGAAACACUGAGCCAAAGGGAUGCCGCUCAGCCUGCAGCCAGUGUGGCGGCGUAUCUUGUGUGGUGCGCGUGUGUAUCGCAUUGUGUUCCUCCUCAUAGACUUAGUGGUGGUCAAGAUAACCAGGAUUGGCCAAGCCCUCCCUGAAGUGUGCUACCAGU